rnacentral:rRNA from 1 species
AUCUCCUACGGGAGGCAGCAGUGGGGAAUAUUGCACAAUGGGCGAAAGCCUGAUGCAGCGACGCCGCGUGAAGGAUGAAGUAUUUCGGUAUGUAAACUUCUAUCAGCAGGGGAGAAAAUGACGGUACCUGAGUAAGAAGCCCCGGCUAACUACGUGCCAGCAGCCGCGGUAAUACGUAGGGGGCAAGCGUUAUCCGGAUUUACUGGGUGUAAAGGGAGCGCAGACGGUGAGACAAGUCUGAAGUGAAAGCCCGGGGCUCAACCCCGG